rnacentral:rRNA from 1 species
GACGAACGCUGGCGGCGUGCCUAAUACAUGCAAGUCGAACGAGUGGCGGACGGGUUAGGAACACGUGGGAACCUACCCAGCAGAGGGGGAUAACACUUGGCAACAGGUGCUAAUACCGCAUAGGUGGAUGGACCUGCGGUGCAUUAGCUAGUUGGUGAGGUAGCGGCUCACCAAUGCAACGAUCCAUAGCCGACCUGAGAGGAUGACCAGCCACACUGGAACUGAGACAAGGUCCAGACUCCUACGGGAGGCAGCAGUGGGGAAUAUUGCACAAUGGGCGCAAGCCUGAUGCAGCCAUGCCGCGUGUAUGAAGAAGGCCUUCGGGUUGUAAAGUACUUUCAGCGAGGAGGCGUUACUCGCAGAAGAAGCACCGGCUAACUCCGUGCCAGCAGCCGCGGUAAUUC